UACAGAGGGUGCAAGCGUUAAUCGGAAUUACUGGGCGUAAAGCGUGCGUAGGCGGUCGCGUAAGUGGGGUGUGAAAGCCCCGGGCUCAACCUGGGAAUUGCAUUCGAGACUGCUCUGCUAGGGUGCGGAAGAGGGAAGCGGAAUUUCCGGUGUAGCGGUGAAAUGCGUAGAUAUCUGGAGGAACACCGGUGGCGAAGGCGGCGUCCUGGACCAACACUGACACUGAGGAGCGAAAGCCAGGGGAGCAAACGGG
rnacentral:rRNA from 1 species